GACGAACGCUGGCGGCGUGCUUAACACAUGCAAGUCGAACGGACAGGCCCUGCUUUUGUGGGGUGCUCGAGUGGCGAACGGGUGAGUAACACGUGAGUAACCUGCCCUUGACUUUGGGAUAACUUCUGGAAACUGGGGCUAAUACCGGAUAGGAGCUCCUGCUGCAUGUUGGGGGUUGGAAAGUUUCGGCGGUUGGGGAUGGACUCGCGGCUUAUCCGCUUGUUUGUGAGGUAGUGGUUUACCAAGGGUUUGACGGGUAGCCGGCCUGAGAGGGUGACCGGCGACAUGGGGACUGAGAUACGGACCAGAAGCCUACGGGACGCAGCAGUGGGAAAUAUUGCACAGUGGGCGGAAGCCUGAUGCAGCAACGCCGCGUGCGGGAUGACGGCCUUCGAGUUAUAAACCGCUUUCGCCUGUGACGAAGCGUGAGUGACGGUAAUGGGUAAGGAAGCACCGGCUAACUACGUG
rnacentral:rRNA from 1 species